GUGAUUAGGACAGCCAUUAGAAUAAAUGGGAUACGUCAUUAUUUUAUUUUCUACUGUGGUUGCAAUGUUUAUGUCUGUUUGUGCAACUUCUGAUGGGAAGGAUACCAUCCAAAUCUGGGAUAAAAGCUUGCGCAUAAAAGUAGUUCUCUUUGAAUUAGACUCAGUUCACCAACACGCUGCAGAGAGUAUCAAUGCCAGCAGUUUUACUGCGAACGCCAUGUGUAAGCUGUGUGACACUAUACAAAACAGAGACCGGAAACUGGUGUGUCGACGCCAUGUGUAAUGUGUGUGACACUAUACAAAACAGAGACCGGAAACUGGUGUGUCGACGCCAUGUGUAAUGUGUGUGACACUAUACAAAACAGAGACCGGAAACUGGUGUGUCGACGCCAUGUGUGACACUAUACAAAACAGAGACCGGAAACUGGUGUGUCGACGCCAUGUGUGAGCUGUGUGACACUAUACAAAACAGAGACCGGAAACUGGUGUGUCGACGCCGUCUUUGUAGUCAUGUGAAAAUUGUGAACGGCAGAUGAAUUCUGAAAUUCUGAACAAAUUAGCAUUGCUGUAGAUAGACAUUGACAUAAUAGACCGUUACAUAUAUUUGUGUACUAUACAUUUCAUUAACAUUCUACUUUCAAACUUGAAUCUAUUUUCACAAGUUAUUGGUCCGUCAGUCAUCUCAAUGUCACGAUUUAAAAAAAAUAUCUCAGGCACUUCUCCCUUCCUCUCCUAAUAUUCUGUCACAAGUUACAAUUUAUGUUUGGGAGUUGUUUUGUUACAUAUUUUAUAGAAUGAUUAAACAGAUUGGAGGCAAGUUCUCUGACUCCUCUCUUUAUGAUUUGUCAUACGUAAUGGAUACAAUAGAUACAAUAGAUAAACAGUUAGUGAAGCAGAUAAAAUAACAUAGCACAAAGUCAUUACUUAAAUCUACAGGACUCAUCUAUAAGUUCACGAACGACAUCAAAAAUACUAGUAGUGGUUUGUAAUAAAAAAUUUGCAUAACCCCAUAAUAGUAAAUAUGUAUUCAUUUAGACCAAAUCGAUUCCGAAUAGUCGAUUGGAAAGAACAUUUCUAUUAUUUGUAUAAUUUCUACAAGCAAAAAAGAUUACCACAAGAACAAAGAGUAUAUUGAUGAUGUUGUGCUUGUGUAAAGCAUUGUGGAUCAAACAGUUACUAGUAUAUCUUAGUUUAGUGUGCAUAAUAUUGGUAUAACGUUUAUCAAAUGAAAGGUACGGUGGCGGAUUAGAAUCCUUACAAGUUAUGAGUACUAGUAUAUCUUAGUCUAGAGUACAUAAUAUUGGUAUAACGUUUAUCAAAUGAAAGGUACCGUGGCGGAUUAGAACCCUUACAAGUUAUGCAUUGUGAAGGUGACUGAGGUGGCGGAUUAGAACCUUACAAGUUAUGCAUUGUGAAGUUGACUGAGGUGGCGGAUUAGAACCUUACAAGUUAUGCAUUGUGAAGUUGACUGAGGUGGCGGAUUAGAACCUUACAAGUUAUGCAUUGUGAAGUUGACUGAGGUGGCGGAUUAGAACCUUACAAGUUAUGCAUUGUGACGCUGACUGAGGUGGUGGAUUAGAACCUUACAAGUUAUGCAUUGUGAAGUUGACUGAGGUGGCGGAUUAGAACCUUACAAGUUAUGCAUUGUGACGCUGACUGAGGUGGCGGAUUAGAACCUUACAAGUUAUGCAUUGUGAAGUUGACUGAGGUGGCGGAUUAGAACCUUACAAGUUAUGCAUUGUGACGCUGACUGAGGUGGCGGAUUAGAACCUUACAAGUUAUGCAUUGUGAAGUUGACUGAGGUGGCGGAUUAGAACCUUACAAGUUAUGCAUUGUGAAGUUGACUGAGGUGGCGGAUUAGAACCUUACAAGUUAUGCAUUGUGACGCUGACUGAGGUGGUGGAUUAGAACCUUACAAGUUAUGCAUUGUGAAGUUGACUGAGGUGGCGGAUUAGAACCUUACAAGUUAUGCAUUGUGAAGUUGACUGAGGUGGCGGAUUAGAACCUUACAAGUUAUGCAUUGUGACGCUGACUGAGGUGGUGGAUUAGAACCUUACAAGUUAUGCAUUGUGAAGUUGACUGAGGUGGCGGAUUAGAACCUUACAAGUUAUGCAUUGUGACGCUGACUGAGGUGGCGGAUUAGAACCUUACAAGUUAUGCAUUGUGAAGUUGACUGAGGUGGCGGAUUAGAACCUUACAAGUUAUGCAUUGUGACGCUGACUGAGGUGGCGGAUUAGAACCUUACAAGUUAUGCAUUGUGAAGUUUACUGAGGUGGCUUCCCAUGCGUCAACAUUUAAUAAAUUCCAACGUUAAACAGCAUCUGGUGCCCGUUUUACAAAACAACUUACGACAAAGUCGCAAGUCUUAAAUGAUAUUACACUGUUAUUAGUUUAAAUGAAGGAAUUAAAACGUUUCUGAAACUUAAUUUUCAACAUUAAUUCUUCACUAUUUCACUUUGGAGUGAAUUAUCUCACAAUAAGCGGGAAAAAUCCAAUAUGUAAAGUUGGUAGUAAUUCUAAGUUCUUUUGUAAAAUGCACCCCUGGUACCCAAGAUUUGUGAAUUAUUCUACUACUUGAUCAGUCGAAAUAAUCUGGACAAUUUAUUCUGCAAUAUUUACAUUCACUGUGUGUAUUCUACUUAAUUUCUAUUGAAAUCCAUUCUUUGCUACGUGCCCGUACUAGUAGCCAAAACAGUUUAAUUAUGUAAAAUAAUGUGUUAAAGGCAUAGGGUCUAAGAUAUUUGUGAAAUUUUGUAUGUUACAAAAAGGUGGCGAAAUUUAAGAUCAUGACUAGAAAAUCACAAAAAGUUCUUCAGAAUGUUUACAAACACAUUGGAUACGAUAGUAAUAAAAAUAAUUCCCUGUUCUCAUUUGCCUAAACUGGUAUCCUGUUGACUUCGCAUGUCUUAUGUUUGUGUGUAGCCACCAAUCAGCGGGGUACCAGUUUAAGAUAUUGUCCUCCUGACAAAAUUUUUAUAAAGGGCUAGAACGUCAAAAUGAUUUCAAUUUCAAAGCGCUGCAGCUAUAGAUAACUCAUAAUUAAUACUACAAAUUUGUUUUUUGGAGUUCGUCUUGUAAAAUAUUGUGAUGUCAUUUUUUAGAUAACAGAUAAACUUGUGCUUGGAUGUUUGGUUUUUGUUGUUGAAAAUUUCAGCUGGGAUUUAUGAACUUUUUUUUCAGCUGUAUAAUAUGAACUUUUUUUCAGGUUUCUAAUAUGAACUUUUUUCAGAUUUGUAAUAUGAACUUUUUUCAGCUGUCUAAUGUGAACUUGGUAGAGUUCCUUUGGGAAUUUACGCUUUAGCUUUGUUUUAGUAGUGAAAUAUUUUAAUAAAACAUUAUGCGCUGAGAAUCUGACAGAUAGAUUGUUCACCAACUGUGACAGAAAUGAUAUUGUAGAAAAAAUAAAUUAUUUCUUACGUACAUAUUUUAACUAUAAAUAUAUUUUAAUGGCCAAA